UACAGAGGUCCCAAGCGUUGUUCGGAUUCAUUGGGCGUAAAGGGUGCGUAGGCGGCGCGGUAAGUCGGGUGUGAAAUCUCGGGGCUUAACUCCGAAACUGCAUUCGAUACUGCCGUGCUUGAGGACUGGAGAGGAGACUGGAAUUUACGGUGUAGCGGUGAAAUGCGUAGAUAUCGUAAGGAAGACCAGUGGCGAAGGCGGGUCUCUGGACAGUUCCUGACGCUGAGGUGCGAAAAGCGUGGGGGAGCAAACAGG
rnacentral:rRNA from 1 species